AUUUUUUUAGCUUAAUAAGAGCAUUAGUUUGAAGGUCUAGGGGUACCUCGUUGAGGUAAAAAAGG
rnacentral:tRNA from 1 species